rnacentral:rRNA from 1 species
UACGGAGGGGGCUAGCGUUGCUCGGAAUCACUGGGCGUAAAGCGCACGUAGGCGGACUCUUAAGUCAGGGGUGAAAUCCUGGAGCUCAACUCCAGAACUGCCUUUGAUACUGAGAGCCUUGAGUCCGGAAGAGGUAAGUGGAACUGCGAGUGUAGAGGUGAAAUUCGUAGAUAUUCGCAAGAACACCAGUGGCGAAGGCGGCUUACUGGUCCGGUACUGACGCUGAGGUGCGAAAGCGUGGGGAGCAAACAGG